rnacentral:rRNA from 1 species
CGAAUGAAAAUGGGCUGUUGCUGGCUUCUCGCAUGUGCACGCCCUGUCAUUAUUUCUCCUCUGUGCACCGACUGUAGGUCUGGAGUUUUUCAGGUCUAUGUUUUUACAAUCUCUCAAUGUGUUGAAUGAUAAAUAAAUAAAAAUAUAUAUAUACAACUUUCAGCAACGGAUCUCUUGGCUCUCGCAUCGAUGAAGAACGCAGCGAAAUGCGAUAAGUAAUGUGAAUUGCAGAAUUCAGUGAAUCAUCGAAUCUUUGAACGCAUCUUGCGCUCCUUGGUAUUCUGAGGAGCAUGCCUGUUUGAGUGUCAUCAAGUUAUCAACCCAUGGAAUUCUCAUGGAUUGGAUGGUUGGGAUUUGCAGGCUUUUGAAAAGAAGGUCUGCUUUCCUGAAAUAAAUUAGUGGCGUCUGGGACCACUACAGGUUGUAUUUAUGCCUCUUGUAAAAGGCCCCAUUGUUCAAGCUGCUUCGAAUUAUUAUCACUUUGUUGACCGAUUUGACCUCAAAUCAGGUAGGACUACCCGCUGAACUUAAGCA